rnacentral:rRNA from 1 species
UAAGGGCGCACGGUGGAUGCCUUGGCACUAGAAGCCGAUGAAGGACGUUACUAACGACGAUAUGCUUUGGGGAGCUGUAAGUAAGCUUUGAUCCAGAGAUUUCCGAAUGGGGAAACCCAGCAUGAGUUAUGUCAUGUUAUCGAUAUGUGAAUACAUAGCAUAUCAGAAGGCACACCCGGAGAACUGAAACAUCUUAGUACCCGGAGGAAGAGAAAGAAAAUUCGAUUCCCUUAGUAGCGGCGAGCGAAACGGGAAGAGCCCAAACCAACAAGCUUGCUUGUUGGGGUUGUAGGACACUCUAUACGGAGUUACAAAGGACGACAUUAGACGAAUCAUCUGGAAAGAUGAAUCAAAGAAGGUAAUAAUCCUGUAGUCGAAAAUGUUGUCUCUCUUGAGUGGAUCCUGAGUACGACGGAGCACGUGAAAUUCCGUCGGAAUCUGGGAGGACCAUCUCCUAAGGCUAAAUACUCUCUAGUGACCGAUAGUGAACCAGUACCGUGAGGGAAAGGUGAAAAGCACCCCGGAAGGGGAGUGAAAUAGAACCUGAAACCGUGUGCUUACAAGUAGUCAGAGCCCGUUAAUGGGUGAUGGCGUGCCUUUUGUAGAAUGAACCGGCGAGUUACGAUUUGAUGCAAGGUUAAGCAGUAAAUGUGGAGCCGUAGCGAAAGCGAGUCUGAAUAGGGCGUUUAGUAUUUGGUCGUAGACCCGAAACCAGGUGAUCUACCCUUGGUCAGGUUGAAGUUCAGGUAACACUGAAUGGAGGACCGAACCGACUUACGUUGAAAAGUGAGCGGAUGAACUGAGGGUAGCGGAGAAAUUCCAAUCGAACCUGGAGAUAGCUGGUUCUCUCCGAAAUAGCUUUAGGGCUAGCCUCAAGUGAUGAUUAUUGGAGGUAGAGCACUGUUUGGACGAGGGGCCCCUCUCGGGUUACCGAAUUCAGACAAACUCCGAAUGCCAAUUAAUUUAACUUGGGAGUCAGAACAUGGGUGAUAAGGUCCGUGUUCGAAAGGGAAACAGCCCAGACCACCAGCUAAGGUCCCAAAAUAUAUGUUAAGUGGAAAAGGAUGUGGCGUUGCCCAGACAACUAGGAUGUUGGCUUAGAAGCAGCCAUCAUUUAAAGAGUGCGUAAUAGCUCACUAGUCGAGUGACACUGCGCCGAAAAUGUACCGGGGCUAAACAUAUUACCGAAGCUGUGGAUUGUCCUUUGGACAAUGGUAGGAGAGCGUUCUAAGGGCGUUGAAGCAUGAUCGUAAGGACAUGUGGAGCGCUUAGAAGUGAGAAUGCCGGUGUGAGUAGCGAAAGACGGGUGAGAAUCCCGUCCACCGAUUGACU